CGUGUUGAUGGUUAAAAAGCUCUCCACAGCAGUGAGCGUUCCUGUGGAAGACAGGCAAAGGAGUUGUCAGGCAUCUGCAGCUCUCUACAGGCACGUUUGCCCGCAGCUGCACUUCAGAGGCCAACCACUGACACUCACAUCCGACCUCUACAGCUGAGACAGAAACUGAUAUGUUUGCCCAUGUCUUGUCUUUCUUCCUGUUGAUGAGCUUGAAAAGCCAAGAGAUAGCACAUGGAAUGACUCCAAGGCUUUGAGUACAACCAUCAUGACCAAUCAUGGUGUAAGACAUUCCUGUAAAAAGAGGGGCCCACAAGUCACAUGAAGUGGCAAAAACAGUUGAAUCUGAACCUUUCUGCCACAACACCAUUUGACACAGAUCUAUGGAAGCCCAUUUCUGCCCCAGAGUAAAAAAUAAAAGGAGGUGGUGUGAUGGAAUGGGAGGGCCAUUAACAUCACGUUCAAAGGUCUUCUCUAAAAUGUGAGGCAUCCAGAAAACAGCCACAUCCCAAGGUCAGACUGAAGGACAUCUAAACCAUCUGGUUGUGGACAGAGAAUUUACCUUGGAUGUUUGUGUAAUGAAAUGGAGCUGGACUAAUGGACUAGGUCUGCCGUCGAGCUCUCGGUCAGCGUCGCAUAAAGAUCUGGUGAGUGCUUAUGGAGCUGUCUGAGACGUUCACUCUCUGCCGCACUUUCGUAAUGCAUUCUAGUUUCAUCUGUAUUUACGAGCGCUGUGUAUGAAUAUUUCACUGGUCAUUAAAUAUUACAGCGAUAUUGAUCAAGCAUCUUUUUUUCCUGACUGGCUUCUCUGUGGUAUGGAUAAAAUGUGGGUUUAACCAUUAACCAGAAAAGUAGGCUACUGUAUGUUCUGCAUCUGGAGAUAUAAUCAAGGCUGAUUAGAGGGUUGUAUAUCAUAUGAUGGCACACAUGACGUGUGUCCUGGUAAGUCCUGGUGGGCAGACAUAGCUAUGUAUAUUUAAUUGAUAUACUCUUACAUUAUGCACACAGAUGGUGUACUGGAUAUAAAAUAUGAAGAGCACAUAAGGGCUUCUUUCUUAACAUUAUUUGGAAAAGGAAUACAAGGCUGUAUGCGUCACAUGAUGCUUCAGGAAUCAUUCUGAUAUGGUGAUUUGAUGCUCAAGAAAUUGUUAAUAUUAUCAAUUUUGAAGUGGCUGUGCUUCU